rnacentral:tRNA from 1 species
GCUGUUGUGGCUUAGCUGGUCAUAGCACCUUUCUUGCAAGCAAGAGGUCUUGGGUUCAAAUCCCAGCAGUGCCU